GAUGAACGCUAGCGGCAGGCUUAAUACAUGCAAGUCAAGGGGGUAGCAAUACAACCGGCGCACGGGUGAGUAACGCGUACACAACAUACCAUAUACUGGGGUAUAGCUUCGGGAAACUGAAGGUAAUCCCCCAUAAUAUUGCGGGAAGGCAUCUUUCUGCAAUUAAAGUUUCGCGGUAUAUGAUUGGUGUGCGUUUGAUUAGCUAGUUGGUAGGGUAACGGCCUACCAAGGCGACGAUCAAUAGCUGGCGUGAGAGCGCGACCACGCCACACUGGAACUGAGACACGGUCCAGACUCCUACGGGAGGCAGCAGUAGGGAAUAUUGGACAAUGGGCGGAAAGCCUGAUCCAGCCAUGCCGCGUGAUAGAUGAAGG
rnacentral:rRNA from 1 species